rnacentral:lncRNA from 1 species
CUGAAGAGGGAAAAGGAAGCAUCUCUGAAGAAGAAAAAUGAGCAGCUUUAACAAGGAAAAAAGGAGGCAGCUGAAAGUGAAAAAGGGAGGCAUGCAAAACCCUAUCUCCUCUUUUUCUACUGCCCACAAAAGGAACCAGAUCUAUAAUGUUAAAAGGGGAGCAUAGGUGAACCCAUAUCUGGUUGGGAGCCGACGUGAACCAAAAUCUGGUGAGAAAAAAGAAGUGCCCUUGGAGCUGAGCAGCGGAUUGAGGAAAAUUAAGCAAGUAAUUUAUUUUUUAUUUUUAUUUUUAUGUUUUUGCUUUCAAAUUGUAGAUUUUUGGGAUGAAAGUUUUCGUGAUGUUUUAACAAAGUCAU